GGUUUCCGUAGGUGAACCUGCGGAAGGAUCAUUACCGAGUUGAUUCGAGCUCCGGCUCGACUCUCCCACCCCAUGUGUACCUACCUCUGUUGCUUUGGCGGGCCGCGGUCCUCCGCACCGACCCCCGUUCGGGGGCCGGCCAGCGCCCGCCAGAGGACCACAAAACUCCAGUCAGUAAACGUCGCAGUCUGAGAAACAAGUUAAUAAACUAAAACUUUCAACAACGGAUCUCUUGGUUCUGGCAUCGAUGAAGAACGCAGCGAAAUGCGAUAAGUAAUGUGAAUUGCAGAAUUCAGUGAAUCAUCGAAUCUUUGAACGCACAUUGCGCCCCUUGGUAUUCCGAGGGGCAUGCCUGUUCGAGCGUCAUUUCAACCCUCAAGCUCUGCUUGGUAUUGGGCUCCGUCCUCCGCGGACGCGCCUCGAAGACCUCGGCGGUGGCGUCUUGCCUCAAGCGUAGUAGAAAACACCUCGCUUUGGAGCGCAUGGCGUCGCCCGCCGGACGAACCUUUGAAUUUUUCUCAAGGUUGACCUCGGAUCAGGUAGGGAUACCCGCUGAACUUAAGCAUAUCAAUA
rnacentral:rRNA from 1 species